CUACGGGAGGCAGCAGUGAGGAAUAUUGCACAAUGGGGGGAACCCUGAUGCAGCAACGCCGCGUGGAGGAUGACGCAUUUCGGUGUGUAAACUCCUUUUAUAUGUCAAGAAAAUGACGGUAGCAUAUGAAUAAGCACCGGCUAACUCCGUGCCAGCAGCCGCGGUAAUACGGAGGGUGCAAGCGUUGCUCGGAAUCACUGGGCGUAAAGGACGCGUAGGCGGGUUGGAAAGUCAGGCGUGAAAUCCUACAGCUUAACUGUAGAACUGCACUUGAAACUUCUAAUCUAGAGUAUGGGAGGGGGAGAUGGAAUUAGUGGUGUAGGGGUAAAAUCCGUAGAUAUCACUAGGAAUACCUAAAGCGAAGGCGAUCUCCUGGAACAUUACUGACGCUAAGGCGUGAAAGCGUGGGGAGCAAACAGGAUUAGAUACCCUCGUAGUC
rnacentral:rRNA from 1 species